CCUACGGGUGGCAGCAGUGAGGAAUAUUGGUCAAUGGGCGCGAGCCUGAACCAGCCAAGUCGCGUGAAGGAAGACUGCCCUACGGGUUGUAAACCUCUUUUAUCAGGGAACAAAGUGAGGCACGUGUGCCUUUUUGAGAGUACUUUAUGAAUAAGCAUCGGCUAACUCCGUGCCAGCAGCCGCGGUAAUACGGAGGAUGCGAGCGUUAUCCGGAUUUAUUGGGUUUAAAGGGAGCGUAGGUGGGGUGUUAAGUCAGUUGUGAAAGCUUGCGGCUCAACCGUAGAAUUGCAUUUGAUACUGGCAGUCUUGAGUGCAGUUGAGGUAGGCGGAAUGCGUGGUGUAGCGGUGAAAUGCAUAGAUAUCACGAAGAACUCCGAUUGCGAAGGCAGCUUACUAGACUGCCACUGACAUUGAUGCUCGAAAGUGUGGGUAUCGAACAGGAUUAGAUACCCUAGUAGUC
rnacentral:rRNA from 1 species